ensembl:lncRNA
CACAUAUCAUCCUUAAAUUAUAAAUUUCCUGUCCAAAUCUGCCCCUCUGAACAGACCUGACCACCGUAAUCAAAUAUCCUGAUACUUUACCAUUAUAUAUUUCUCCCAAUACUCUUCAACAGCCACUGCUCUCUCUUGAACUGAACCGAAAGCCUCCGACACACACGCACACAGGAAGUGUCUUUGUCACUCACUCACUCCAGCUAAUUUGCAUAAACCCACAGCUCAACAGCCAACUUAACAAGAGGAAUACAUGUUUAAACUUUAUCACAUUAUUGAAUUAUUUUCAUUUUCUUUCUAUACUAAUCACUUGUUUUAAUCACUCAGUGCAAAAGCACUGCUGAGUCACUCUUAUAAACACUCUUCUUUUGUUUUUCCAUCUAUUUUAAAUCUUUCCAUCAGUUGUAUUAACCAUUCACACCAUUCUCUCACUCAUACAAGCAGCAAGCAGAUCUUCAUUGCAUAUGCUUGUGUUCUUAGCCAGGUUUUAAUAUCUAUUCAUUAAUCUUCAUGAGCUUGUCUCUGUAAGAUUAAUGCAUUCUCUGUCUAUAUGUGUGUGUGUACGUGUUAUUUUGCAUCUAUGGCUUCACAGUCUCCCAAACUCCUUCCCAAUUCUCCAGUUAAGCAGUCAGUUUUCUUUUUCCCCAGUUACUAACCCACAUUUUGAUUUCCCACCUUAAAUAAAGCACUCCUAGUCUUCAGCCAGGAGCUAGGGCCUGUUUUCCAGGUUCAUGGACACAUGAUUCUGUGAACAAUUCAACCAGAAACUUGCCUUAACUUAUCUACAAUUUCCUUCCGACUGGUGCAUCUGGAGAACUGGUCCAGGUCUGCUUUACCCUGAAAAUAACAAAACUAAGACAUUUCCAUUAUUAUCACAAGUGCUUAAAUAACCCAUUUCUCUGUCUCUGGUCAGAAACACCAAUUAUGCCAUGCAUGUAAGCGUGUUCUUCCCUGCAUUUUAUGUUAAUUGGGUGUAAACUGCUUCUUCAUUAAAUUAACUCAUUGAGUUCUUCGUUGCCUUGCGAUGUAUUCAUGUUAAUGUACACUACGUGUAAGCUGUUUCUUCAUUGCAUCCGAUAUAUUCAUAUUUAAUUUAUGCAUUUCACCACUGAGCUUUAGAUUCAAACUAUCUCACUUCUGAUUCAUUUCAAAAAUAAUCUCACAUGUAACAAUUUGUAUGUGUGUUUUCUAUUCAUUAAGGUAAUGACAAUUAUUUUCGUUCAUUAUUCCUACCUUUUCUAAUGUUUACCUCUUUGUUAUGCUGUAGUGGACAUCCCUAAACAAUUCAUGAGUUCAGGUUUCAAUUUUCAAUCCAAUUAUAUCCUAUAUUCUCGCAGUCAAACUCGUCCAGCUUCAU